AAUUUGUGGAAUACUGAUUUUAUAUUGCUUAUACACAAAAUUGAGAGCCUGGCUAAAGAGUUACGGUAGGUUGUUUUAACUACUGAAUUUUUUAUUUAGUUGAGAUUGUAUUAUUAUAAUUAGGCACAAUAAAUGGCAAUAGGCUCGUCAUCUAUUACAUAAAAUCUAGCAUAGCUGGUGAAAUAUAAGUGUGUUACAAUUCUGCCUCACUCUGAAAAGGGAAAAAGAUGUGAUGCCAUGAUACGUUAUUUAAAUUUUUUUGGCAUUCUUCAAACACCUAAUCGUUCUUCUACACUUAGUUCCAUUCAAGGAAUUUGUUCCAAACUCCUAUUCGGGUUCUCCCUUGAUGUCCGACAUUAGCCUUUUCGAAGAUAUAUUACAUAUUUAAUUACUUUUAAUUGCAUUAUUUUCGAAAAACAGCUAAAGGCUCAUAUUGAGAGAUGGCUCAUAGCAAAAAAAAAAAAAAUGCUGCAUUACAAGCAUAUAAAUUUAAUAAUAAAUAUAUUUUAUAUCAUAACAUCGGCAGUAUGUUUUUAUAUAUGCGGCUAUUCGGUUUGAAAAAAAAAACUCCAAGGUGACAACUGACAGGAACAAAUUGAGAUGAUUCUCAAGGGUAAAGACAAAAAUGCAUAAUAUUAUCCAAAAACUGAAUGUUCCCACAACUGAGCUAAGAUUAGAUGUAAUCCAGGAAGUUCUAAUUAAAGUGAAGCAGUGUAGAAAGAUAAAAAUUGAGAAAGAACCUAAUUUAAACACCUGGGAUGAAAUAUGUGAAGCACUAUGGAUGCAUUUGCAAACAGGUUUAAAAAAUGUUGAAGAUGAGCUGCUUUGUGGUACUUGUUUUUACUCUGCAAUUCCAUACACUGAUAAACAAGAUUACUUUUUAUAUAAAAUAUUAGAUAUUAUAAAAUCUGAAAUACAGAUGAGAACAAACCCAUCUUUAGUUGUAUCUUUAAUGUAUGGAAUGUUCCAAUCAUCAUUUUUUUCUCAUGAAAAUGAUAAUAUUUUAUUGAUAACUUCAGUUUUGGAAGCUACAAUUGAUUUGCUUUUACUUAUGAGUUAUGAAUAUACAAGAUUUACUUUCCUAGCAUUUAAAACAAUAAAUUCUUUUAAAAAAGUUUGUGGAACAAAGUUGGAACAUAUCAUUUUUAAUAACAAUAACCAAAUUAAAUUGUUAAAUUUGGUGAAUCACAAUUGGGAAAAUCCAAUAACAGGUGUCCGAGAUCUCAUCAGGUCCAUAUUUCAAACAACCAUAAAAAUUGGUGAUGACACAAUUGUUAAAACAGUUUUAGAUGAGACAAAU